rnacentral:rRNA from 1 species
GACGAACGCUGGCGGCGUGCUUAACACAUGCAAGUCGAACGGAAAGGCCCUGCUUUUGUGGGGUGCUCGAGUGGCGAACGGGUGAGUAACACGUGAGUAACCUGCCCUUGACUUUGGGAUAACUUCAGGAAACUGGGGCUAAUACCGGAUAGGAGCUCCUGCGGCAUGGUGGGGGUUGGAAAGUUUCGGCGGUUGGGGAUGGACUCGCGGCUUAUCAGCUUGUUGGUGGGGUAGUGGCGUACCAAGGCUUUGACGGGUAGCCGGCCUGAGAGGGUGACCGGCAACAUUGGGACUGAGAUGCGGCCCAGACUCCUACGGGAGGCAGCAGUGGGGGAUAUUGCACAGUGGGCGGAAGCCUGAUGCAGCGACGCCGCGUGCGGGGUGGCGGCCUUCGGGUUGUAAACCGCUUUCGCCUGUGACGAAGCGUGAGUGACGGUAAUGGGUUAAGAAGCACCGGCUAACUACGUG